GACGAACGCUGGCGGCGUGCCUAAUACAUGCAAGUAGAACGCUGAAGCGAGGAGCUUGCUCUUCUUGGAUGAGUUGCGAACGGGUGAGUAACGCGUAGGUAACCUGCCUUGUAGCGGGGGAUAACUAUUGGAAACGAUAGCUAAUACCGCAUAACACUGGAUGACACAUGUCAUUUAUUUGAAAGGGGCAAUUGCUCCACUACAAGAUGGACCUGCGUUGUAUUAGCUAGUAGGUGAGGUAAUGGCUCACCUAGGCGACGAUACAUAGCCGACCUGAGAGGGUGAUCGGCCACACUGGGAAUGAGACACGGCCCAGACUCCUACGGGAGGCAGCAGUAGGGGAUCUUCGGCAAUGGGGGGAACGCUGACCGAGCAACGCCGGGUGAGUGAAGAAGGGUUUCGGAUCGUAAAGCUCUGUUGUAAGUGAAGAAAGGGUGUGAGGGUGGAAAGUUCACACUGUGACGGUAGCUUACCAGAAAGGGACGGCUAACUACGUG
rnacentral:rRNA from 1 species